GCAUCACGCUAGGGGUCCUGGUCAUUUGAACCGGGUGAGAAAUACCCUCAAACCUGAUCUGGGUAAUGCCAGCGAAGGGAAGCACUCGGAAGUCCCG
rnacentral:ncRNA from 2 species